CGCAAUCAACGAGCGACGGCAGCUUUGAUUGUUGUUUGUGCAAAUCGUGGCCAGACAAAACUCAGUUUGUUGUUUGACUGACAAGGGGACCAUGACGGUAUUAUAACACACAGAAAAGUGUCCAACCUGCACAUUCAUGUCUGCUGUCAUCAAUACCAUCUAUGGUUGGAAAGGCUUAAGAACAAUGGCAAAUGUGCUGGCUAGAAGAACACCUAAAGGGAAGCGAGAGCAUAACAUCUAGAAAGGCUGUUAUACUGCCGGUCCAACAAACCAAAAGGGAAGCGAGGACAGGAGAGCAGAGAGCGGGUAUUGGGAUGGGGUUAAGAAGCCAAAGGAGGACGUCAUGGUUCACAGCGGCUCUGCUUCCCCAAUGAACACAACACCGUCAGCAUCACCUCAUUUAACUACAGCACCUCCUUUAGUCCCUCCAUCUGGAGGUACUACAGAUCAGGACCAAACCCAGUCCCCCACUAAACUCCUCACCGCAGGCCUUACCUCCAACUCCAGUCUGACUCAGACCGGCACUCCUGCUGAUACAGAGCAGCCUGUUGUAAUCCCAGCCAAAGCAUUAACUACUAAGUCAAGCCAGGAAUCAGUCUGGUCUUCUACACAGACACCAACACCUGUUCCCGGCCCAGUCAAUGGCCGCACAUCGGGCAGGAAGAGGACUCCAAAAUCCUGUGACUGUUGUGGCCCCAACAGCACGGGGCACAAUGUCAGAACCUCGGGGACGGGGAAGGGGAGAGGAAGAGGAAGGGUGGCCGGCAGGGACCCUGGGGUCACUCCUAAAAGGAAAGUGGACCAGCUGACGCAUAUCAAGAGCUUUGAUUUGACCAAGGGGGAAGUAAACGAUGAAGAUAAGGUGCAAAUGGCUGUUGCGCUGGCUAAUACACAGUCACAUACGCCUGUUGCCAAGGCUGUCACCGUCCCCUUGCAGGAAGAAUCCCUAAGGAACUGUGUCAUUCCAGAGAAAGGAGAUGCGCAUAAAAAGGAGGAUGCAUUGAUAGACAGCUCCGCGGCAUCUGAUGUAGUAGAAAAAAGAGGUGGGGAUUACAAGAGUGCAGAUGUCCGAUUGAUAGGUACUGUGGGCGUGGGGUCACUAGUGGUUAGAGGUCAAGGAAGGGAAAUGAUGAAAGCCGCAAGCGCAUCGAAUAUGGAAGUUAACACUGAAGUUAAAAAGGGAGAUACUGGUGCUGCUGUCUGUUCUAAAACCGAGGCCUUGGCUCCGUCAGUGGUGCAGAGGGAAAUUCAAGAUGCACAGAUGCAUCACGGGGACCAGAAUGACCCCAGCUCAGUUAAUUGUCCACUUAGAAACGGCGACACGGUAGACCUGUCUGACACCGACGGAGAAGGAGAGGAAAGCAACAUGAUUGUGACCGACCCUGGAAACGUACAGCUGUCCAUCUCAUGGCAGUCAGGCCACGCUUCGAGAUCAGGAACAACUCAGGACCUUGACUCUGAGAUGCAGGUGGAUCAAGUCCCCGACGGAACAGACCGAGUUGCUUUAUUGGUAGCGCUGUCCAAUGGAAACGUUACGGCACCAGCAGACCACAACCGUGGAUCUACAACUAUGGAGGUGGACAGUUCUCAUCCGGCUGUGGUUCCUCCACCAGACUACUGCCCUGUUACAGUGAGCAGCAACCAACACGGCUGGGCAUUAAGUGACCACAGACUGUAUUGUCAGCCUGGCACCUGGGAGAAAGACCAGAUGGAUGAAAUGAUGCACGAGAAUCGGUCAGAAAACACAGAUGUAACGAUGCAGCAUCAGGAGAGUCUGGAGCAGCUUACUGAUACCAUCCAUGGUAAGAUGUGGUUUAGGGUUCACGGUGCGAAACCAUGCCUGAGCAUGAAUAUAUUCAUCACCCUCUCCGUUUGGUAAAUGAUUGAUGUUUUACACACAAAGAAGCGACUGCUGAGAGCAUCAGCAUUUUUUUUUUAUGUCAUAAAAGAUCCAUAAAACAUUCCUGGCCUUGUCCAGUAAGUGUUAAUGUGCACACAUUUGAUCUAAGCUCAU
ensembl:lncRNA